ACGCUGGCGGCGUGCUAACACAUGCAAGUCGAACGAUGAUAGAGAGCUUGCUUUCUUGAUUAGUGGCGCACGGGUGAGUAAUGCAUAGAUAAUGUGCCCCUUAGUUCGGGAUAGCCACUGGAAACGGUGAUUAAUACCGGAUACUCCUUCUUGUUAUAAGACAAGUCGGGAAAGUUUUUCGCUAAGGGAUCAGUCUAUGUUCCAUCAGCUUGUUGGUGAGGUAAUGGCUCACCAAGGCUAUGACGGAUAUCUGGUUUGAGAGGAUGAUCAGACACACUGGAACUGAGACACGGUCCAGACUCCUACGGGAGGCAGCAGUGAGGAAUAUUGCACAAUGGAGGAAACUCUGAUGCAGCAACGCCGCGUGGAGGAUGACGCAUUUCGGUGUGUAAACUCCUUUUAUUAGGGAAGAUAAUGACGGUACCUAAUGAAUAAGCACCGGCUAACUCCGUGCCAGCAGCCGCGGUAAUACGGAGGGUGCAAGCGUUACUCGGAAUCACUGGGCGUAAAGGGUGCGUAGGCUGGCUUUUAAGUCAGAUGUGAAAUCCAAUGGCUCAACCAUUGAACUGCAUUUGAAACUGAAAGCCUAGAGUUCAGAAGGGGCAGAUGGAAUUAGUGGUGUAGGGGUAAAAUCCGUAGAUAUCACUAGGAAUAUCAAAAGCGAAGGCGAUCUGCUGGGAUGAUACUGACG
rnacentral:rRNA from 1 species